rnacentral:rRNA from 1 species
UACGUAGGCAGCAAGCGUUGUUCGGAGUUACUGGGCGUAAAGGGUGCGUAGGCGGUCCUAUAAGUAUGGUGUGAAAUCUCCCGGCUCAACUGGGAGGGUGCGCCGAAUACUGAGAGGCUAGAGUGUGGGAGAGGAAAGUGGAAUUCCUGGUGUAGCGGUGAAAUGCGCAGAUAUCAGGAGGAACACCGAUGGCGAAGGCAGGUCUCUGGGCAUUAACUGACGCUGAGGAGCGAAAGCGUGGGGAGCGAACAGG